rnacentral:rRNA from 1 species
AUUGAACGCUAGCGGGAUGCCUUACAAAUGCAAGUCGAACGGAGUGGCGAACGGGUGAGUAAUGUAUCGGAACGUGCCCAGUAGCGGGGGAUAACUACGCGAAAGCGUAGCUAAUACCGCAUACUAUUGGAGCGGCCGAGAGCGGAUUAGCUAGUUGGUGGGGUAACGGCGCACCAAGGCGAAGAUCCGUAGCUGGUGUGAGAGGACGACCAGCCACACUGGAACUGAGACACGGCCCAGACUCCUCCGGGAGGCAGCAUUGUGGAAUUUUGGACAAUGGGGGAAACCCUGAUCCAGCCAGCCCGCUUGUGCGAGUAAGGCCUUCGGGUUGUAAAGCACUUUUGGCAGGAAAGCGGUACCUGCAGAAUAAGCACCGGCUAACUUCGUGCCAGCAGCCGCGGUAAUAC